UAGUUAGAAAAAAAAAAAAAAGAGAGAAGGGAUGUUUUACUGUGAAGGUUUUGGUAUGUAGGUUAUUGAGUCUAAGAAACGUGCACAGAAGUCGCAAGCAGUAUGUAAAACUAACAAAGCAGAUGUCUAGUGUGUAAAAUCUGUUUCAGACCCAGACCUAGACUGGUGUCCCGGUCCGUGUCCUCCAGCACAGAGACGAGUGCAAGUUCAACAGGAAGCUGAGGCAAGAAGCCAUGAGGGUGCCAUUCCACCUCCUGAACAGCACCGCCCAAGAUCUCCACGUAAUAAUCUACUAGACCUGCCUUCCAAACCUGAAGCAGAAAGCUCAGCUGUGCUAACUACAACCUAUGACCCGCCCAGUGAGGAUAGAGAGGACCUGUUCUAAUCCAACUUCUUUUCGUCCCUUCACACUCGCUCGACUGGUGAAUAUCGUUUGAAGGAGAAUAAAGAUGGACAAUAAAGACAUGCUACAUUUUUCCGUGAUUAAAGUAGCAGGACCAAAUGGACAUGCAAUGGUGGUUCAUCGUCCGUGGACGGAGAACGACAUCCCUGAGGUGUCCCAACUACUGACAGAUCCUUGUGAAGUUGGAGGAGAAAAGUUCUUUCAGGAGCUGAGACCUACCACAAAUGAACUCAGAAGUCUAAUGGGUCAGAAGCUGGGCGUGGACAUUUCACGUCAGAAUAGACUGGAUAACAGACAAUUUCACACAGCAAAAUGUCACCUGCAGUCAUAAGGACAACAACAAAUGCUUCAUUUGCAAAAAAAAAAGGACACUGGGCCAACAAAUGAGUAAAAGAGUUGAGAACUAUGGAGAAGACUGAAUGAUGGAGGAGGACCGGACUGAGGACAAAGCAAAAGGGUCUGGUGACUCUGACGUGACCCCUUUCACCCACUUGAAGAGGAAACCUGUAGGCGCCAACAACGCCUUUCCUGCUCGGUUGCCAGAUGUGUUGGGAAUCAGCGGUGACCGCGCUCACAGCUCAGUCCAGAACUCAUCAAUUCUAAUGAACUCAGAUAUAUCCUCUAGGCUACCAAAGCAGGGCGGGUCGUGAGUCUGGUUCCUCUCAAGAUGCAGAAAUGCCCAAAAGUAUGUGGACAACCCACCUACUUAUUAAUCCUGGCAUUACAGCCUCACCCAGCCACACAGAUGUAAAUUAUUAAACACAUGCUUCUGAUUUUGUUUCAACAAUUUCAGGAAGGACCUUUUUAGGAGGUCUAUUAAGACAUGAUUUGAUGAGUUUGGUGGGGGACUGCAGGCAAGGCCACUAAACACCUUUAAGUUUAAUGACAAUACUGAUGGUGCCAGUCGCUUUAUCCCACAGUCCAAAUACAUGCAAGUGAGAUGAACUGGAGAUACAACAAUAAAUAAAUCCUGUUUGAUGAUCCAGGAGUUAAAUGACCUGCUGGUAAGAUCCUGUUACCAGAUUAUAGUAAUAGCUGGGUUGUGGUUUCCACACCUGUCAAUCAGUUCAAUUCAGUUUUUUCAAUACAAGAUUGACAACAGUUAAGGUCUUUCACCAUCUACUGUGCAUAUUAUUGUGGAAGGAUUCAGAAAAUCUGGAGAAAUCUCUGUAGUCUAUGUGGGGCAAGGCCAUAAACUUCUAUUAAAUAUGUAUAUUGCAUAAUGUAUAUGCAAAGCUACUUUAUUGCUAAUAAAGUUUUUUUCCAAAUUG